AAGCAUGCAUCAGACAUUUUCUAAUUAAUUUCUUGAAACGCUUCCAUGCUUCGUAUAAUGUCUCAUCUCAAGAUUGCCUGAAAGAUGUAAUGCCAUUCCUCAGCUU
rfam:Gossypium raimondii chromosome 12, whole genome shotgun sequence.